GCUGUUCACCUGAAUAACAAGGAGACACUGCCUGGCACGCCAACACAUUGCUCACCAUGUUCAUGAGAAUUAUGUCCUUUUCACCUUGGACCAAACUGGGGUUUCUUAACUUGCUUUUACUCUCCUGUUCCUGCAUAUUAGGUUCCCUUACCAGAGGUCUAUAAUAACAAAAGGUAGGUAAAGGUAAAAGGUAAAGGACCCCUGUAUGGUUAAGUCCAGUCAAAGGGGACUAUGGGGUUGUGGUGCUCACCUCACUUUCAGGCCAAGGGAGCUGGUGUUUGUCCAGUGGCGUAGCGUGGGGGGUGCAGGGGGGGCCGGCCGCACCGGGCGCAACAUCUGGGGGGCGCGCUCGCACUCGCAGCUCUCUGCCCCUACCUGGCUCACUCACUCUCUCUCACUGCAGUGCUGGCUGUGCGAAUCCGAUCCGAGCCGCUGGGUCGCCGCCCACUGUGGAGGGGGUGGGUGCCAGGCGUGCGGUGCGGAGAGAGAGCGAGGACUAUCUGGGGGAGGGACAGUGCAGCGGCUGCCCAGCGCAGCGCUGAGCGCGGGAGAGAACCACACCAGACCAGCCCAGGCAGCAGCAAGAAGAAGCUGGCAGCGGCGGCAGGUUAGGGGUUAGGGGGCGCAAAUUACUUGCCUUGCCCCGGGUUAGGGGGCGCAAAUUACUUGCCUUGCCCCGGGUGCUGACAACCCACGCUACGCCGCUGUGUUUGUCCACAGACAACUUUCCAGGUGACGUGGCCAGCAGGACUAAACUGCUUUUGGCGCAACGGGACACCGUGGCAGAAGCGAGAGCUCACAUAAAUGCCAUUUACCUUCCUGCCUUAAUGGUACCUAUUUAUCUACUUGCACUGGUGUGCUUUUGAACUGCUAGGUUGGCAGGAGCUGGGACAGAGCAACGGGAGCUCACCCUGUCGCAGCGAUUCAAAGCACCAACCUUCCAAUUGGCCACCCCAAGAGGCUCAGCGGUUUAGACCACAGUGCCACCCACUCUUCUGCACUGCAGAGAAUGUAUCCACCCCAACUCUUUUUUUACUCUUGCAAAACUGCAUGUGUACAUUUUGAAUGCAAUCUACUGAGACGUUCUCCUGUGCAUGCUACGUCGCAUUGAAUCAGAGCUGUACAACCUUAUAAUUCAUUUCAUUGGGGUUUUGUGCAGGAGACCUUCCAGAUGAAGUGGGCCCUUUGUUGACUUUAAAACCACAGACCUGCUUCCCUGUGCAUCUUAAACGCACACGGGUUGCUGUAUGCGAAACCUUUGGCUACAUUCUCUGGGAUUUGAGGGAUGGAGCGAAUAAUUAUCUGCUGUGAGUUUUUAGUCAUUACUGGGUCGUUAAUGCCUUGAUACUGAUAACAUGUAGCAGUUCACAAGGCAAUAUCAAAUGUUUUCUUUCAGACCUUCAACAAGCUUUGCAGAUAAUAUGACAGCCUAAUAUAGAGUUUGAUGUAUGUGUCUGGAGAGAAAAAAAGGCCGAGGCUCUUUAGUUAGUGCACUGUCCUUAAUGGAUUCUCUAGAUUAAAGUAAUCCCUAUGGGAAUCCACUAUGACAACAAUUCUUACACAGAUUUUCCAGUCACUGCUUCUAUGCCAUAACUGUUCUUUGAAAGUGUUUAUAGUAGUGAAAGGCCACAGUCUAGAUUUUUUUAAAGGAAAAAAAAAAGCUUAUGCUUUAAUUCUAUUAAGGAUAUAAGAGGGUACAUUUGCGUCAGAAUAAUAGUGUGCCCCAUGUGUCCCACAUUCUCGUAUUGUUGACAAUGUGCAGAAAUGUCUAGCUGUCUUCUAGCUAAAGGGUGAUCUUAACGUUUAUAUUUAAAUAAUUAUUAUUUAUAACACAGGAGAAGUUAUGCUAGGGAUGUAAGACGGCAGUCAACCUGUAUUUGUCACCAUCAGUGCUGUUUCUGUUCCACUGCAGUUCAGUUUCCACCAAAUACUAUGUUAUUUGCCUCCAUGCUUACUAUUUAAUAUAAGGUACCUAACUUACCUAACUUACAUUUGUUUCUGCGUAAAAAAAUAAUCACGAUGCAUCUCCUGGACUGAAGUUUGCUUAAAUGUUGCAAAAACCUUAAGUACAGUCAUACUUGGAUCCUGAACACCCUGGAACUCAGACACCGCAAACCUGGAAGUGAUUGUUCUGGUUUGAGAACAUUCUUUUGGAACCUGAACAUCCAAUGGGGCUUCUGCGGCUUCCUGCAGCCAAUCAGAAGCCACGAUUUGGUUUUCGAACGUUUUGGAAGUCAAACGGACUUCCAGAAUGGAUUCUGUUCAACUUCCAAGGUACAACUGUACUCAAUAGGGAGGGGACAGCAUCCCCCUAUCUUUCGUGAAAAUGCAUCUGCAUAUUUACAUAUCACUGACUCAGAUGUUUAGGGAGCAGUCCCAGCUCAGGGGUGGUGAACUUGCUUUGCGCAGACACACACAGGAUUAUCUAAUUUCAAUACUGCUUAAUAUAUUUAAAAUAUCUCUAAGUGGUGUACGGAAAACUGAAGAGAUAACAGACAACUGAAACAAAAUAUUACAAAACACACAGUUACAUAUAAGAAUGUUGCAUAAAUGAGAAGGUCCUAAUAUGUAUAAAUCAAUAUGAAUUCAUUUUCCUUUGAAAUAAAUAAAUUAAUAAAUAAUAAUAAUAAUAAUAAUAAUAUAAAUUUAUACCCCGCCCACUCUGGGUGGCUUCCAACAGAAUAUUAAAAUACAAUAACCUAUUAAACAUUAAAAGCUUCCCUAAACAUACUCUCCCUCUCAGCCUCUGGGUUCUCACUCAGGGUCCAAACAAACUCUCAGCUCACCCAUCAAAGUCUCACAAUGAGAAAAGUUCCUGGAAAUAGUGGACAUCACUCUCAUCAGUCAUAUAUAUAUAUAUAUAUAUAGAGAGAGAGAGAGAGAGAGAGAGAGAGAUAUUCAUAAAAAAUCAUGUGUGUGUGUGUGUGUGUGUGACAACAGGUUAUAUGUGAAUUUUCCACUGGAGAGCCAAAGCCAGUAGAUAGAGCUGGACUUAGCUAAGGGAGCUUCAUAUGUUCCUGAUGGUCAUUGGUGAAGAUAGGAAUUUGUAUUUCCUUUCAAUUGUCCCAAAGUGGUGGCUGGCCACUCCUGCUAGCCAACUGCUUUGCAGGCUGCUUCUGGAGACAGUAGCUCACUGGAAGGACAGAUCCUGAAGCUGAGGCUCCAGUACUUUGGCCACCUCAUGAGAAGAAAAGACUCCGUGGAAAAGACCCUGAUGUUGGGAAAGAUGGAGGGCACAAGGAGAAGGGGACGACAGAGGACGAGAUGGUUGGACAGUGUUCUCGAAGCUACCAGCAUGAGUUUGACCAAACUGCGGGAGGCAGUGGAAGACAGGGAGUGCCUGGCAUGCUCUGGACCUGGCAUGCUCUGGACCAUGGGGUCACGAAGAGUCGGACACGACUAAAUGACUAAACAACAACAAUGCAGUGCCAUCCUUCAAGUGCUACUCUACUCCCAUCUUAUGAACCUGGCAGGGUGUGUAUGCAUGGAGGAAGGGGUGGGGAGGAGGGAGAGGAGGAAGCCAGUGGUCAACAUAAAAGUGGAAAUGGACUCUUGCAUCAUUCAGUAUCUGCCUUCUGUCAAACUUAAUUAGCAUCUGUGCUUGCUGACUCAUUCACAAGAAUCCUGUGUGCUGACAAAGACAGGUGUGUGAAGCAGAGCCAGCAGUGGAGGGUUGGGCUGUUUUGUCAUUAGCAGAAACAAAGUCAAAGUUAGCAAAACAGUGUUUAAUCAAAACACAAGUCAAAGACAUUUUGGCAUGCAAGGAGCUUCCUCUGCCCUCUCCCUCCUUGCAAACUCAAAUCUAAACAAUAUAUCCUGGUCAAAGUGCAACUGUACAGCUAUCUGGUUUCAGAACUUUUGUUUUAAUAUGCUCAACUGCAAAAACAUUUUGCAGCCCUUUCUCCAGCUGGAGCAAACAUUCACCGUUCAAUUUGUUUUCAAGAGCUCAAAACGUCAACAUCUCGGGUUCUUUUUCUCGCCGACAGAGUUGUCAGAGGCGCAGCCCCUUUCCACAAGUCCCACAAACUUGGAUUUCAGCUUCUCAGUUUGUCUUUCCUGUUUCCCACACACUGCAGUCACAAACCUUUGACCAGGGCAAAAAGUGACCACUAAUUAGCUCGAAUGUCUCCAGGUCUGCUUAUAACCCCGUGGACACAAUGGCAAAGAGAACAGCACGCUGUGACCCGUUUCCAUAUUUAGACAAAGAGUGGAAAAUGACAGGGGCGAGGAAGUAGUAGUUUUGGAACUGUGCAAGUCAAAAAAAUAAUUACUUUUGGAAAUCUCUUCUUGAGAUUCUUGAUGUCAUCACUAGUACUCGAAAAGCUGGGAUAAAGUGAUGCAUUUAUAAAUGGCUUGGGGUUAACAGACACAAUGGUUUCUUACUGGUGUUUUCCACAUGUAGGAACUUAGGCAUCAGCCACACCAUAAGUGAUCAUGACAAACCCAACUUGUUUCGGCACUUUUCUGUAAGAGGGCAAUUGCAGUUACAUUCUUGCAGAGGAAUCAUGUCUGGGCUCAGCAGAGAGCAUGAGAUUCUUUGCCCAAGGCUUCAGAAUCAGGUGUAGGACAAAGGGAACACCUAACUUUCCAUAGCCUCAUCUCUGGCCCUGAUUCCAGGCCAACAGCUAUGCAUGACACAACCAGUCCUCAUGACAGUAGUGCUUCCAUGCUGCAGAACACAGUGCCCAAAAAUAGAGUGAAUCUUCCCAGGAGCAGGAGGGCAGUAUAGAUUUGGAACCGUGGUUUGCAGAGGGACAUAGUCCAGAAGGCAGAAGCUGGGAAAUACUGGAUGGUGAACAGCUAGGAGAAGAAACACUGGAAGAGAGAGGGUUAACAGAUUCACUGUCUGUGGAAAGCAUUCGGGUAUAGGGCGGUAUAGAAAUUAAAUAAAUAAUAAUAAUAAUAAAAUAAUAAUAAUUCCUCCGCUCUCCCCAAGGUCAAGAAGAGCUCAGAAAGUGGCAGAACAGAAAGCACACAAAGCACAGAGGGUACAAGAUCAGAUUACAAGAUGUAGAAAUGUUGUAGAUUAAUAGAGACAUAAGAGGGUGGAAUCCUUAAUUGGGAGCACUGCCAUUCCUAGAAGAUGGGUUCUUUGUUCUCUUGCUGUGAUUAUUAAAUUUUCUAACUGGUAAGAA